rnacentral:rRNA from 1 species
AAGCCUGAUCCAGCAAUGCCGCGUGGGUGAAGAAGGUCUUCGGAUUGUAAAGCCCUUUCGACGGGGACGAUGAUGACGGUACCCGUAGAAGAAGCCCCGGCUAACUUCGUGCCAGCAGCCGCGGUAAUACGAAGGGGGCUAGCGUUGCUCGGAAUGACUGGGCGUAAAGGGCGCGUAGGCGGAUUAUUCAGUCAGGCGUGAAAUUCCUGGGCUCAACCUGGGGACUGCGUUUGAGACGGGUAGUCUUGAGUUCGGAAGAGGGUCGUGGAAUUCCCAGUGUAGAGGUGAAAUUCGUAGAUAUUGGGAAGAACACCGGUGGCGAAGGCGCCGACCUGGUCCGAUACUGACGCUGAGGCGCGAAAGCGUGGGGAGCAAACAGGAUUAGAUACCCUGGUAGUCCACGCUGUAAAUCGAUGUGUGCUGGAUGUUGGGCUACCUAGUCACUUCAG